rnacentral:ncRNA from 1 species
UUAAAGAGAAGAAAGAUCGGUGCCAGAGAUGGCUUAAUAGGGAAGACGGUGUGAAUCCGUCGCGGUCCCGCCGCUGUAACCGGCGACAAGGGUUGCUGGAUUAUGAAAAUCCAGCCACUGCUCCGUAGGAGCGGGAAGGCGUGACCCGAGGACGACCCGGAAGCCAGAAGACCUGCCGGUCGCAUAUGGUCCAU